rnacentral:rRNA from 1 species
AUUGAACGCUAGCGGGAUGCCUUACACAUGCAAGUCGAACGGAGUGGCGAACGGGUGAGUAAUGUAUCUGAACGUGCCCCUUAGCGGGGGAUAACUACGCGAACGCGUAGCUAAUACCGCUUACUCUUGGCGCGGCCGAUAUCGGAUUAGCUUGUUGGUGGGGUAACGGCUCACCAAGGCGACGAUCCGUAGCUGGUUUGAGAGGACGACCAGCCACACUGGGACUGAGACACGGCCCAGACUCCUAAGGGAGGCAGCAGUGGGGAAUUUUGGACAAUGGGGGAAACCCUGAUCCAGCCAGCCCGCGUGUGCGAUGAAGGCCUUCGGGUUGUAAAGCACUUUUGGCAGGAAAGCGGUACCUGCAGAAUAAGCACCGGCUAACUACGUGCCAGCAGCCGCGGUAAUUC